UCAAACUUGGUCAUUUAGAGGAAGUAAAAGUCGUAACAAGGUUUCCGUAGGUGAACCUGCGGAAGGAUCAUUAUCGUGGGGAUUCGUCCCUAUUGAGAUAGCACCCUUUGUUUAUGAGCACCGCUUGUUUCCUCGGCAGGUCUGCCUGCCGCUAGGACCACAAAAAAACCUCUUGCAGUAGUAGUACCAUCAGCAUUUCAAAACUAUCAAAACUUUCAACAACGGAUCUCUUGGUUCUGGCAUCGAUGAAGAACGCAGC
rnacentral:misc_RNA from 1 species